rnacentral:rRNA from 1 species
UAGGGAAUCUUGCGCAAUGGGCGAAAGCCUGACGCAGCCAUGCCGCGUGAAUGAUGAAGGUCUUAGGAUUGUGAAAUUCUUUCACCGGGGAAGAUAAUGACGGUACCCGGAGAAGAAGCCCCGGCUAACUUCGUGCCAGCAGCCGCGGUAAUACGAAGGGGGCUAGCGUUGCUCGGAAUUACUGGGCGUAAAGGGCGCGUAGGCGGAUGUUUAAGUCGGGGGUGAAAGCCCGGGGCUCAACCUCGGAAUUGCCUUCGAUACUGGACAUCUUGAGUACGGGAGAGGUGAGUGGAACUCCGAGUGUAGAGGUGAAAUUCGUAGAUAUUCGGAAGAACACCAGUGGCGAAGGCGACUCACUGGCCCGUUACUGACGCUGAGGCGCGAAAGCGUGGGGAGCAAACAGGAUUAGAUACCCUGGUAGUCCACGCCGUAAAACGAUGAGUGCUAGUUGUCGGCAUGCAUGCAUGUCGGUGACGCAGCUAACGCAUUAAGCACUCCGCCUGGGGAGUACGGUCGCAAGAUUAAAACUUAAAGGAAUUGACGGGGGUCAUAGCUG